rnacentral:rRNA from 1 species
UACAGAGGGUGCGAGCGUUAAUCGGAAUUACUGGGCGUAAAGCGUGCGUAGGCGGUUCGUUAAAGUUCGUUGUGAAAGCCCCGGGCUCAACCUGGGAAUGGCAAUGGAAACUGGCGGGCUGGAGUAUGGCAGAGGGGGGUGGAAUUCCGCGUGUAGCAGUGAAAUGCGUAGAGAUGCGGAGGAACACCGAUGGCGAAGGCAGCCCCCCUGGGCCAAUACUGACGCUCGAGGCACGAAAGCGUGGGAGCAAACAGG